rnacentral:rRNA from 1 species
AUACGUAGGUGGCAAGCGUUAUCCGGAAUUAUUGGGCGUAAAGAGUGAGCAGGCGGUUAAUUAAGUCUGAGGUUAAAGCGUGGGGCUCAACCCCAUAAAGCCUUGGAAACUGAUUGACUAGAGUACGGGAGAAGUGAAGGGAACUCCAUGUGUAGCGGGGAAAUGCGUAGAUAUAUGGAAGAACACCAGUGGCGAAGGCGCUUCACUAGCCCGAAACUGACGCUCAGUCACGAAAGCGUGGGUAGCAAAUAGGAUUAGAUACCCCGGUAGUCCUGGCAGUAAACGAUGUAUGCUGGGUGUGAGACUAGCGAUAGUUUCGUGCCGAAGUUAACGCGAUAAGCAUACCGCCUGGGGAGUACGGUCGCAAGAUUGAAACUCAAAGGAAUUGACGGGG